GAGUUUGAUCCUGGCUCAGGAUGAACGCUGGCGGCGUGCUUAACACAUGCAAGUCGAACGAGGAAUUUUAAAUGAGACUUCGGUGGAUUUUAAAAUUCUUAGUGGCGGACGGGUGAGUAACGCGUGGGCAACCUGCCCUGUACAGGGGGGACAACAGCUGGAAACGGCUGCUAAUACCGCAUAAGACCACGGAGCCGCAUGGCUCAGUGGGAAAAACUCCGGUGGUACAGGAUGGGCCCGCGUUGGAUUAGGUAGUUGGUGAGGUAACGGCCCACCAAGCCGACGAUCCAUAGCCGACCUGAGAGGGUGACCGGCCACGUUGGGACUGAGACACGGCCCAAACUCCUACGGGAGGCAGCAGUGGGGAAUCUUCCGCAAUGGGCGAAAGCCUGACGGAGCAACGCCGCGUGAGUGAAGAAUUAUUUCGGUAUGUAAAGCUCUAUCAGCAGGGAAGAAAAUGACGGUACCUGACUAAGAAGCCCGGCUAACUACGUGCC
rnacentral:rRNA from 1 species